UACGUAGGGAGCAAGCGUUGUCCGGAAUCAUUGGGCGUAAAGCGCGCGUAGGCGGCCCUGUAAGUCCGUUGUGAAAGUCAAAGGCUCAACCUUUGAAAGCCGAUGGAUACUGCAGGGCUAGAGUCCGGAAGAGGCGAGUGGAAUUCCUGGUGUAGCGGUGGAAUGUGCAGAUAUCAGGAGGAACACCAAUAGCGAAGGCAGCUCGCUGGGACGGUACUGACGCUAAGGCGCGAAAGCGUGGGGAGCGAACAGG
rnacentral:rRNA from 1 species